rnacentral:misc_RNA from 1 species
UCGAACACUGCAAGGUAGAACGACCUGUGAACAAGUAACCACAAUUGGGAGAUAGGGAAAUGGGCCUUGGUCCUUCUCUUGAAACCUUAUCGGCGUGUGUUUGUGGUGCCUUUUUUUUGGCAUCAUUGAUCCCGUCCGACCAUAACCAACCCCGGCACGGCAUGUGCCAAGGAAAACAAAAAUAAGAAGGACAUGUCCUGUAUUGACCUGUUUGCGGUGUGCGUGCAGUUCAUGGCCUACUUGGAAUCACAAACGACUCUCGGCAACGGAUAUCUCGGCUCAUGCAUCGAUGAAGAACGUAGCAAAAUGCGAUACUUGGUGUGAAUUGCAGAAUCCCGUGAACCAUCGAGUUUUUGAACGCAAGUUGCGCCCGAUGCCAUUUGGUUGAGGGCACGCCUGCCUGGGCGUCACACAUCGUGUCACUCCCCACCAGACUUCCCCUAGCGGGAUGGUGUUAGGAGUGGAUAAUGGCCUCCUGUGCUUGUGUGUCGGUUGGCCUAAAUAGAAGUUUCCUUCGGCGGACACACAAUUAGUGGUGGUUGAAUAGACCCUUGUCUUGUGUUGUGAGUUGUAAGUGAAGCUCUCAUUGAUGACCCUAAUGCAUCGUCUUUGGAUGGUGUUUCGAU